CUGUUUCAAAUAUAAAGUAAAGAAUAGUUAGGUUAAAUGAUUCAUUGGUAGACUAGACUCCCAAAGAAUCACAGGGGGGUUAUGUUAUAAGGAAUUUCACAAUUUCACUCUGUCUCAUGAGGAGCAGAAGUUUUAGGUCAAAGGAAGUUUUUAAUUUGUACGCUGUCUUCUUCAGACACAGCAACAGAUGGCUCUCACCCUCUGUCUCUUUAAGAGGCAAUAGCAGAUAGAUUUGAAUUCCAUCUCUUUAAGAGAAAACUAUAAAACAGAAAAAAAAGUCAUUUAAGUAAGGAAUUUUGGUGUCAUUCUCGGUCAUGAAGAUCUGACAGUUACUUUUGAGAGUUUGUCAUAUAGAUAUCAAAAGAGAAAGAGUCUAGUUACUGAGGGGUUUUUCCUUCUCAGUACUCUGAGAGAGAAGGGUCUAACUCUGAGGUCUUUUCUCCACAGCACUUUAAGAGCAACUGGAGAACUGUCUGUGUCUGUGUGAUCAGCAGUUUCAAAUGACAGUUAAUAGAAGAAUUUCUUUAAAGAGUUAGUUAUUGAUAAAUAUUCAUCUAUUAGUUAAGUUAGAUAAUGAAUUAAUUCAUAGUUAGAGUAGUUUUAGUCAGGCUUGCUUUGCUGGGUAAGGAGGUCCUGCCAAGAAAGGCAGUUAGAAGUAGGGUUCUUUAGAGAUUUUUAGUAUAGGAUUUGGGUUUUAAGAUUGAGUAUAAGAUUUAGAGAUAGACUAUCCUUUUUCCUACCUCCUAUUUCUUAUCCCUACCUCUCUUCAAUAUAAAUAAGGACACUGGUUUACCAAACUGCUCUCAACAACUUUCAUCGACCUCCACCAAUAAUAUUUACCACAUAACAGCUUGGCUAUAAAUAUUUAUUAGCUAUAACAGUACCUAGCAUACACAGUAGACAAUAAAUGUUUAUUGAACUAAAUUUGUAACCUGAAAUUACAGCAAAAAUGAAAAAUUGAAAAAAAAUUAUUCCUAUAUCAACACAUCAAGGGUUAAUUUAAAUUAGACUGGAUAUUUGAGUUUCCUACUACAAAAUUGACUAUGAGCUCAUAAUUCCCCCCCUAACUUGUCCACUACUGUGUCAUUUGAAUGAAGUAAUAGCCUGGAAGGAUCUUUGUCAAAAUCUUAACAAAUAAAAUGUAGCAUUUCCAUUUCCUCAAUUCUAGGGUGGUUCAAUAGAAGGAGUUUAACUAUUUCUCCCUCAGAAUUUUAGGGUAACCCAAAAGAUUUGGGUUUCUAGUACUGCGGUUCGUAUGCUCCUAUUAUAGGUUCAUUGACUAUCAAUCAGAGCUAAUUCUCUUUUUUGAAGGAUAUUUGUUAAGCAGGCACAGCAAUGACAAUUAUUGCAGAAAUAUCUUCUUUAAUUGAGGGCUCACUCUUGCCUUGUACAAACCAGGCUUCUGGAAAAAGUAAGCCCAAACUUGGGGGGCAUAUAUGACCAAGGAGUAAAUCCUCAAAGGUACUGGAAUUCUUUUUUCUCUUUUUGUGGCAUCCUUAGAAGAUUCCCCUUUGUUCUCUGUUGAGCUCCAAGGGUUUGUGCCUUUGCAGUGGCCUGAAGCUUUUCCCCUGGUAUUUCUUCAGAGUGUCUCUCAGCUCCUGCUAUAGAUGCCGCUAUUAGGGAUUACAGCUGUGGGGGCACUCUGAGUGAUUUCAACUCAGAUGGGAAUCUUUUGAUAUUUACAAUUUGAUCACCUGGUCAGUUUUGGAAGGGAAGGAGCUCAAGAGGAGAAACACAAUCCAUCUUCCCUGAAGGAAGUCCCCAUUAAGGAAUUCUUCCCUACUGACCUGUUGCUAUAAUGUUCAAUUCUGAACUUGCCUACUGGCAUGUCAGAUUCUUUCAGCUAGUCAUAUGAUAUUUUCCAGUAUGAUAUCAUUUGUCUUUAUAUAGUCAAAGCCCUUCAUUCCAAAUGGAUAAGGACUUUUAUACACCUACAAUACACCUUUGAUUGGCUGAUUUAAUUUAGCUGUUUGAGUCUUCUGUUAUUUCACUAUGCAGAAUGGUGAUUAUAAAAGGAACAAGGACUAAACCUAUAUCAAAUUGGUGGUUCCAUGGACAAAGGCUAUAUGCUAUUUUCUUUUUUUCUAAUGAGAGGGAAAAUUGUACAGAAAGGCAAUAGGGCCUGGAUUCAGAGGACCUACGUUCAAAUCCUGUCUCCAAUGUCUAUUAUUUGUUGGAUGAGUGUAAGUCAUUUUAUCUUACCCAGGUCUUUAUUUCCUCACCUUAAAGAUGAGAGGGUUGGAUGAGAUAUCCUCUGAGAUCCUUUCUUCUGUGAAUCUACAGGGUCACAGCCAGAGAAAAUGAAAUGCCUCUGCAAUUAUGAGUGGAAGAGGAGGCACUGACACCACUUUCUAAGCUUCUGGUUCUCUCUUGUUCUGCCUCAGACUCAGCAACACUGAACAUGGAACCAGUGGCUGGAGAUUGGCUAAGAAUUUUUAAUACUUUAUUCUUGAAGAAAUACAAAUUAUUUCAAGGGGAAAAAUCUUAGUAAGUCCAGUGGCCCCAGUGUAACUGAGUGCUUCAUGGGUUGUUAGCUAAAUUAACAUUUUGUAUGCUUUCCUGGAAGAGAGGAGUGGGCUUUGAGACUUAGGAAACGCAUCAGAUUGCAGAUCUUUAUGCCUUAAGGUCCAAGUGGGCUUUAGGUGUGUGACACAGAACUUCAGCACCACAUCACAGUAGCCUUUUGAAUGUGUUAAACUUGGAAAUAUCUUAUACUUGAUAUAUCUAAAACAAUUCAUUAUCUUUUCCACAAACCCCUUCUUCAGAACUUUCAUAGUGCUAUCAAGGGUACCGUCAACCUCCCAGUCACUCAGGCUCACAACCUUGAUUCUUCCCUCUCACUUAUUCUAUAAUGUAUAACCCAUUGUCAGAUCUCAUUGUUUUUACCUUCAUGUCAUUUCUCGAAUAUGUUCAUCUCGGAUAGAACCCUUUUCUCCAUUCACCAAACUAUUUGAGACUCUCAUCACAUCUCUCUACUCCAACCAGCUACUAGUGAUUUUCCUGAAAUACAAAUUUAACCAUGUCAUCCCCAUUUAACCUAAUCCACUGGCUCCCUAUUACCUUUAAGAUCAAAAUAAAAAUUUCUCUGUUUGACAAUUGACACUCUUUUUUACCCUGGCCUUUUCUUGGGGACACAGUGGCUUUAGCAAGGGGCCAGGAAUCAGGAUAGACAUGAGUUAAAAUAUGACCUCAGAUAUUCAGUGGUUACAUGAUCUUGUACAAGUCAUUUAAUCUCUGGUUGUCUCAAUCUCCUCAUCUGUAAAAUGGAAAUAAAAAUAGUACCUGCCUCCUCAGGUUUUGAUAAAGAUCAAAUGAGUUAAUAAUUGUAAUGUGUGUAGCACAGUAAAUGCAACAUAUGUUAGUUAUUAUUACUAUUAUUAUCAUCUUACAAUUUACUUUGCAACACUGGGUCUUCCCUCUGUUCUUCACAUAUAACACUCAGUUUCCUAUCUUUGUGAUUUUGUAUUGGCUUCAUGCCAGGAAUAUUCGCCCUCCUUGUCUCUGCCUCUUUCAGCACUCAGUCCAAAGCAAAUCUUUUGAGAGAACCCUUUCUUGGUUUCCCCAGCUCCCAAUAUCUUCCCUUCUGAGAUUAUUUUUCAUCUACUUUGUGUAUAUCAUUCCAGACUUAGUUAUUUAAAUAGUUUUUCCCAUUAGAAUGUGAGCUCCUUGAGACAAGGACUGUUUGGGGCUUAAAAAAAAUCUCAGUGCUUUUUAACAUAGUGUCUGGCACUUAAUAAACACUUAAUAAAUGCUUGCUGAGGCUAGGUUGCACAGUGGAUGGUGUAAUAGGAAGAAGAAAUUUGCAAAAGGACUUUGCAAUGCAAACUUUCAAGUGAUUGACAGGAGCAUGUGACAGAGAGUCACAUGGGAGCCUAAGGGGUCAAGAUCUGGGUAAAGAUUCUAAAGUCCCAACAGAAAAACUCACUUCUCUCGGAAAGGACCUUGGAUUGGAGGUUUUACAUCAGGUUUCUGGCCUUUUGGUGAUACUAGCCGAAGAGAGAGGAAUCUUUUGAACUGGCUGCUGGCAGCUGGAACAGAGAACUAAAGACUCACUUCUCCACUGGACUUGCUUUGGACAGUUUCAUCUGAAGAUCCCGGCCCAUUGAUUGGACUCCAUUUAAACAUUAGAUGACCCUAAAAGAAAAUAUCUAAAGGAAGCAGAUUAUAAAUUUACCAUCCUACAAAGAAAAAAAAAGUGAAACAUGCAGAUUGUUAACCGGGUCCAGAAUGAGGAGCAAAUAAAUAACAUUUGGAGGAGCUACUGGGUAUCCAUACAUGUCAUUAAAUGUGAGAUGUGAAAUAAUGAAGAGAAUAUGGUACCUUUCAGGUAAUAGAAACUUAGGAAGAAAACUGUGUCAGUCUUAGGAGCUAUAUUGAUGGUUAUACUAUAAUAAUAAUGUCAACAGUGCUGUAACUUUAGUUUUGGCACUCGGAUCAAGCAGAUCAAAAUAUGUCCCAAGCAAGCAGUACUAAAAUGUCCUGAAAUGAACUUUGUAAUUCAUAAUGUGAAAAGAAUAUGAAAAGUAAUUAAAUUUGGUUGAAUAGGAGAGGAAAUUCCUUUCUUAUUUCCUCCCUCCCUCCCUUUCUCCCUCCAUUCCUUCCUUCCUUCCUUCCUUCCUUCCUUCCUUCCUUCCUUCCUUCCUUCCUUCCUUCCUUCCUUCCUUCCUCCCACAAGCACUUAUGAAACUACCUUGAAUGUAGCAUUGUAGUAAGCAAAGACUUUGUGACUGAAGGAAUGAGUUUAUUAAAUUGUUGUGCUUUUACAAUUUUUGUGCAUUUGGAUAAAACCCUGUUGGCCUGCCCCAGGCUCUUAAUGUAAACACUCAUAUGUUUUAAAAACUAUCACCUCAUUUGAACCUUGGAACAAACCUGUAAGGUGGGUUGUGAAAGAAUUAUUAUCCCCAUUUUAUAAAGGAGGAAACUGAGGUGCAGAGAGAUCCAAUGACUAGAAGUCUUCUAGCUAAAAAGAAUAGAAAUGGAUGGGAGGAAAAAGAGGAAAGGGUACUACUGACUUCAAGAUGAGAUCCUGUAUCUUCAUCAAUUAUUGACAGCAAGUUGGAAUCAAGCUAUGAGGGUUUUCUGUCUUUUCAAAAUAUGCAACAUAGUAAAAGUGGCCUGAAUUUCCACAUGGGAAAAGCAAAUCAAAUGAUUUUUAGACCUAAAAAUCCUGAUGAUUUCCUUUAAAGGAAAACAAGAAUUCUUCCACAAGUUGUGGUGGUAAAAAAAGACUCAUUAUUAGGAUAUAAACUUCAAACCUUAUUAAGAUUACGAGGCCAUAGAAGUACAGUUUAUCCUCUUUCCCCUAAAGACAUGUUUAUUGGCAUCUUAAGUGAAAAAGAGAGAAAAAAAGAAAACAACAAAGGGGGAAGGGGCUUUGGAAAGCCCCAAAUGUAUCCAAAUUAGAAGUUAAAAAUCCACAAUGUGCAUAUGCCGCAUCAAAAGAGAUAUUGUAAUUUAAGGACUGUGGGGGUAAAAAUAAAACCCAAAUCUGCCACAGUUGCAUAGAAAUGUGUUUAAUCCUCUGUCAGAGUUAUUUGGUAGGAAACAUUACCCCACCCCCACAUCCUUUUACACAGGGCUGGGUGGAAAGUCAGCUGGGCCACUGUGUUCCUACAGGGUCUGUGGUAGGGUUGGCCACUUUUCCAACUCCCAUCCCACCCGCACCCUGGGUCUACCACAUUUUAAAUAAACUCAUCUGCCUUCUAAAGGACGCUGUACAGACAGGCAGCUUAUUUGUUUGCACUUGUGUUUCUGAAAAGAAAAACUGCUGCUAGUCAAAAAGUUUUGGUAUGAAACUUCUCUGCAAGUCAAGAAUUGCGUUGGGAAAGCCAAUUUCACAGCACUUCAAAUGUGCCCUGGAAAGGCAUUCUGCUUUCUCCCACUUGGGCACAUGGCAGUUCUUCAAAACAAGGACAUUGGGGUGCUUAGAGUAUUCUCUUCUAGGUCUUUUGUACUCUUGUGAGGCAUUUCUAAUUUUUACCUUACUUUGGAGGGAAGCAACUUUUAGAAGUUAGGCAGGUGCCUUCAAAAAUGGCAUUUUCAAGGUGACAUGAAUGUUUUGUUUGUUUUGAGUUUCAACGCCCCUUCUUCAGAAUUGAAUGCUAAUGUCUGGGAUACAUAAAAGCACAUUUGAGGUACUACAUACCACAUAGGACUGUUGUUAUGCAUGAUAUGGUAGCCUCUACUCAUUUAGACUACCUCUACUCUCUGGGACCAUUUGAACCAGGUCUUCUACAUGGUAUCUUUUAUAAUAUUUGAAAAUAUCUGCCAUGCACCCUUAAACAUGUCAUCUCCAGACUAAAGUCCUCAGUUCUUUCAAGAAAUACUUCUCUGAGAUAAUUUUUAGUUCCCUCAAAAUUUGGACACACUAAUUUGUCAGUGUCUCUUCUGGUUGUCCUCUUCUGACCACUUUCCAGUUUGCCAAGGCUCCCUCUAAAAUGUUGUUCCUAGAAUGAACAAAAUAAUCCAGAUAUAAUCUAAGAAGGGCAAAGGAAAGUGGAAAUGCCUCCUACUUCAUAGUAAACAUUUUAACUGUGUUAAUACUGUCUAAGAAUUGGUUAGCUUUUGUUGUUAUUGUUGGUUGCCAUAACACACACACACACACACACACACACACACAUAGCACACAUAACAUUCAAAUUGAGUUUGAAGUUCACUCUAUCCCUAAGGUUGUAUUUGUGUUGGUAAAUGUCUAAUAAGAGACUCUGAAAAAAUAAAAGUACACCAAUACACUUUUAGAUUUAAUGUGCAUUACUAAUCUUUUUCUCAUCACUUUCUUAAAUCUAGACAAUCAACAGAACAAUAAAUCAGGUCUAAUUUGUCAUGUGUGCCAAUUUCUGAAUGUAAGAGCUCACAUUGAUAAUUGAAUAGUUGGCUUUUCUGAACCCAUUUGAGCUGGCUCCAGGACACCACUGCCCUGUGGUCUUUUUCAUCUGAAAGAGUCAAUCUAAUUCAUCUUGUACUUUUGCUACUCUCUUUUAACUUCAAAUUUGAGACUUUAUAUUAAUUCUGAUUGAAUUAUCUCUAUUUUCCCAUAUUUAUAAUGUUAUUAUCCUCGUGGGAGUUUUCUAAUCCAAGAGGAAACAAUUUUCUAAAGAAGGAGGUCUUCAUCACUUGUGCAAUAGACUUGAUGUCUACUUAACUGAAUCCUGAGAAGUCUUUGAAUUGAGAACUUUGACUUGCUUCCAUGCCACCUGCCUGGAUUUUUCUUUAAAUUCAUGGAAUUUUUCUUACCUUUCCUUUUUUAUUGCAAGCUUAAGAUUAAGAGACAUGCUUGAAAAAUCCCAGAAGUUCUGUCUUAACCAUCCAAUAUUCCUAAUAUAAAGUAAAAUGGCAACUUAUAACUGAGAGUUCUUUUGUGCUAUCGUUUUUAUAUGAAGAUAUGAAUGAAAUGAGAUUUUAUCAAACAGGAAGUUGCUGGAAUUCCCUCCACCAAGAGAGACUCAGUCAUUCAUGACUAAAUCCUAGGGUCUCAUUUAAUGUUCAGAAAAGUUCAGUGUCUUGGAAAUGAUCAUGCAGUUAUCAAGUUUUAAAAGUGGCAUUUGAAUUCAGAUUUUAACUAUAAGUAUAGGACUUGAUUCAAUUAUACUUUAUUAACUUUAAUAUUAAAUAUUCAUAGAAAAUCUACUUUUACUUGUGGAUCACAUUUUAAGCAGUGUUGGUUCAUUUCCAGAAUGUGCAUAAAAGGUGAAGUAUUUGCAUGGGAAAUAGUAGUGGCAAUAGGAUUGGUGAUUAAAAGUCUUUCCUUAUUUUGAAGAACAAGCUGUCUCUGACAGAUAGGACCCAGAGUUAGAGCUUAGAUGUUUAGCAAGAAGAAAAUUAAAGUCAAAAAGUCUUUGUUAGUCAUUAACUAUUCUGUAGUAUUUUUCAUUAAAUACAUUUUUUGUUCAA